UGCAGUCAGACAUAGUUACACGUGCGCAACCUCCGAAAUACUGUACACGUGACUGUACAACAGAAUGACGAAAAUCGAUCGAUGCUUGUCUCGCUGUAUACUGUACUGUAUGUUGUAAUUGCUUCUUACAACAACAUGAGAUACUCAACAUAAGAAAACAUGAGUUUGGUCUAAAAUCGUUUCACACUGUGCCCUACAUAUGGGACCAUACAGACAAAGUGUUUCUGUUUGCUGUGGAAACGAGAAAUUGGAAAGAUGAAUAUCAGAAUGUCAGAAGAAACUUGAAAAAAAUGCCCUAACAAACAAAAUAACAAGAAGAGAGGCAGAAAAGGCUGUGUCAAAGUGGCUAAUUGGUGCCGGGAAAUAGGAGGGAAUCGCACUGCAAGGGCACAUGUUGGAGAACAAAUGGGGGCCGUUGGGACAGCGACAACAUAGGAGUGAGGAGCUGCAGUAAUGUUGUCUUGUUUGUAAAAACCUUUAUUUUAGAUUUUUCUGAUAUGCAUAUAUAAAAACAAGUUUUUCCAAAUAAAGUUUUACAAGAGUGAAUUAAAGCGUUAGUCCAUCAAAAAAUGAAAAAUCUGUAAGUAUUUACUUUUCCUCAUGUCUUUCCACACAAGGCAAAACCUUGGAAUGACAUGAGGGUAACUAAUUAAUGAGAGAAAUUUAAAUUUUGGAUAAACAUAACCCUGUAAAUGUAAUUUUUUUCCCUUUCUUUAGUUGUGUUUUAUAAAGUUUUAAAUGUACAAGUCCUAAUAGUCAUGUUCAAAUUAUUAAUAAACUGCAUAAUGAAGUAAAUCAUGAACUGCUGUUUUCUGUUUAUUGAAUACCUUUAACAUUUUAUUGAAGUUUAAUGCUUGGAAGUUUUGUAUUUAGGGGUUUACUGUAAAAUAAGGUAACCCAAACCAACAAAUAUUGUAGCCCAUAAAUAUACCAGUUGUAACCCAUAAGUGCCCUAAAUAAGUCCUAUCUGGGCCCCAUCAUUAACCCAUGUGGGUAGUCUCAUGUGGGUCCCAUAUGGGAUCUACCUGGUCUACCCAUAUGGGCCCAAUAAGGGGCCCAUCAAGAG